rnacentral:rRNA from 1 species
AACGAACGCUGGCGGCAGGCCUAACACAUGCAAGUCGAACGCAUCGCAAGAUGAGUGGCGCACGGGUGAGUAACACGUGGGAAUGUAUCCUUUGGUUCGGAAUAACGUCUGGAAACGGACGCUAAUACCGGAUGAGCCCUAUGGGGGAAAGAUUUAUCGCCGAAGGAGCAGCCCGCGUCUGAUUAGGUAGUUGGUGGGGUAAAGGCCUACCAAGCCGACGAUCAGUAGCUGGUCUGAGAGGAUGAUCAGCCACACUGGGACUGAGACACGGCCCAGACUCCUACGGGAGGAAGCAGUGGGGAAUAUUGGACAAUGGGCGCAAGCCUGAUCCAGCCAUGCCGCGUGAGUGAUGAAGGCCUUCGGGUUGUAAAGCUCUUUCGCACACGACGAUGAUGACGGUAGUGUGAGAAGAAGCCCCGGCUAACUUCGUGCCAGCCGCCGCCGUAACAC